rnacentral:rRNA from 1 species
GACAGAGGUCCCGAGCGUUGUUCGGAUUCAUUGGGCGUAAAGGGUGUGUAGGAGGUCGGGUAAGUCAGGUGUGAAAUCUCAGAGCUUAACUCUGAAACUGACGCUUGAUACUGCUUGGCUAGAGGAUCGGAGGGGUAUCGGAAUUGAUGGUGUAGCUAGUGAAAUGCGUAGAUAUCAUAAGGAACACCGGUGCGAAGGCGGAUAC